AUAAUGGUGGGCGAGUGGAUCUUCCAUAUCAAGUUUUCUCUCUCCUCUUGGGUUCGGCUGUGCUUGAGCCUUGGGCGGGGGGACUGAGUGGAAAGUGGAAAGAGUCAUUCAAGCAAUAAUUUCCGCAUUCUCCGUCACCCAGAUGAGAUCCUCUUCUCUCUCUUCCAUUUGGUUUGCCUUGCCACAUUAUCUCUCUCUCUCUCUCUCUCUCUCUCUCUCUCUCUAUCAUAUCUAUUCUCUACUAGUUGUAUAUAAUACACUAUACUAGUAGUACCAAACUAUACUCCAUCCGCAAAGGAAGGAAGGAAGGCUUAAUUCUGUGAUGGUUAUGCGCCAUUCAAUUCUGGGGGGUCUUCUUUCCUUUUUGUCCAUUUCCUAUUACAUUACUACUAUAUACUUUUCUCUCUCUUUCUACAUACAUACAUACAUAUAGAUAGAUAGAUAGAUAGAAGAGAUAGAAGUGGUUGGUCGGAGGGAAAGAGAGAAAGGGCGACGUGCCUGCAUUUCUACUUUUCAAAUGCUCUUAUUUGUCGUCCUCUUCUUUUGACUUCCAUAUUCUCAUUUUCCAUUUUCAUCUCAUCUCAAUCUCAUCUCAUCAUUAUUCUCAUCCUAAUUAUCAACCCUCUCAUUUUUCUCUGAAACAAACAACACCCCCCCUUUCAACUUUAUUGAUUGAGAUUUUUCUAGAAUGAGAAUGAGAAUGAGAAUGAGAAAAGUUUCAAUCUUUUUCAUAAAGUCAUCAUCUUCUUCUGAAAGGGUAUUUUUUGUUCUAGCCCCCGUUUAACAUUCUUGGUUAUCUCGCACAUAUAGAAAGAUUAGAGCUUGAUGUGAGAAGAGAGAUUUCCAUUCAUGGACCAUUCCGUGCCCUGUUUUUCCAGAUAAAGUUUCACCUAAUUUUCUCCCCCUCAUCGAUCCAAUAAUUCUUCUCCUAAUAUAUAUAGAUUGCAGGCACAAUUAAUCUAAUCCCCUCAAUUUCACCAUUUUUUUUAUUUCAUUGACUUCC
rnacentral:lncRNA from 1 species